UUGGUAUACACUAAUUAACCUGUCCGUACAACGAGAGCAGUAAAAGUUUUUGUACAGAAACCUGGAAACAUUGGAGGCAAGGAUGAAAGCGCACUGCUGCCACCUUCUGGAUAUUUAAUGCAUUUUUUUUUUUUUUUUGUCAAACCCAAAACACAGGUAAGUCAAAAUGCCAUAAAAUAGAAUUGCAGUUCCUGAAGUAAUACCUGUAUUUGAAAGGCAGCACUUUUCCUUUGGCAUACUCGUCUUGAUGUCCACAAUCAUCUGAAAUAUAAAUACGGAAAAGGCCGAUCACAAUACAGUAUGCAAAUACAUGUAGGAAAGACAUCCCAAUUCGAUAUACAAAUAUUAUAAUAACGACGCCACUGUAGUUUACAUUUUGAAUAGUUAAGGUUCUUAAAAUGGUUGGCGACUCAAAAAUGACAAUUCUGUCUUUUAAUGUCACCUUGAAUUUACACACAAGCCUGGCUGUUUUAUGGUGCUCUGUCCUUUAUGAGCUAGCCUCAGUCCUCGUCAGUUUUAAUUGUAUGGACCUAACAACUGAAUUCCCACAGAGAAAAGCUAAUAAUAAUAAUAAUAAUAAUACUGAGAAUGACAUGAGGGAGACUAAAUGACAGCAUAGCAAUUUUUGAGAGAAUUUAUGAUAUAUUACCAAAAGCAUCUACAAAACCAAAUUAAAUGUCAAAUAGGCCUACUGUGGAUAAGAUAACAAAAAGUGCAUUCUCUAAACAGCGCUGUAAUCAUAACUACAUGAUUUCAGAGUGAGUUUAAUAUAAUAAUAGUUUAUUUGGAUGUAUAAAACAGCACUGAGUUUUGACAUGGCAGAUAAGCAAAGACACCCCAAGAUGAAGCUCCACUGGAAUAGUAAACGGCAGAACUCAGCAGGACAUAAUGUGGUAUUCUCUUGACAUAUCUUACCUCAGUGCUUUCGUUUGGAUAACAAACACCAGGAAGUGAAUUUAAACUGAAGUGUGUAAUUUUAAUGUUUAAAUAAUUUCUUCUCGCAGUUAAAUAUGCAGAGAUACAUACUUGUAAACCAUUCAUAAACUAAAUCCCGCGAUGGAAGUAAACUUUGACUCAGUGGCGCCGUCAAAACUUUACUGUUUAAAUCCCGACCAGCCGCAACACUGGCUCAACCAAUGGCGAGAAUUUGGGGCGGGGCUAGAUUAUCGUCUGACUAAUGGCGUAUAGGGAUUGUGUCAAAUCUAUAGAAUCGCAUUUGGUGCCGCAGAAAAUACACGCUUCAAUUUUAAUAAAGGAAUUCAUAUGGCAACUGGCUAGUCUAGCAUUAAAAGACCAUACACCUGCCACGAUAACACUAAAUACAAAAACAUACAGCCCAUCUGGGUCCAAGUUUUGAGAAGCUAGAAGAGGGGCCCAUUCUUCGUCCGUCGCUGAUGAUUUGGCAUGAUCUUGGAUUGGUUGUUUCUUCGAAGCUCAUCCCGGAGUUGCUGUCAUCGCAUCAGGUCCGUAAACUUAAACCUGCUCGGGAGCAGGAUUAGAUCGCAUCUUUGUGAGCAGAACUGAUACUUAAAAUCUGUCCCAGCCACUGCUACGUUAUUAGAGGAGUACCCUACUGAUCCAGGAACAGUAAUUUACAAUAAUAAUAAUUA
ensembl:lncRNA